GUCCACGCCUUAAACGAUGGGUACUAGGUGCUGGGCCGCAAGGUUCAGUGCCAAAGCUAACGCAUUAAGUACCCCACCUGGGGAGUACGAUCGCAAGGUUGAAACUCAAAGGAAUUGACGGGGGCCCCGCACAAGCAGUGGAGCAUGUGGUUCAAUUCGAUGCAACGCGAAGAACCUUACCUGGGUUUGAAAGGCCAGUGACAGUCCCUGAAAGGGGAUCUUGUAGCAAUACACACUGGUACAGGUGCUGCAUGGCUGUCGU
rnacentral:rRNA from 1 species